UACGAAGGGAGCUAGCGUUGUUCGGAAUCACUGGGCGUAAAGCGCACGUAGGCGGAUUUGUCAGUCAGGGGUGAAAUCCCGGAGCUCAACUUCGGAACUGCCUUUGAUACAGCACGUCUUGAGUCCGAUAGAGGUGGGUGGAAUUCCUAGUGUAGAGGUGAAAUUCGUAGAUACUAGGAAGAACACCGGUGGCGAAGGCGGCCCACUGGAUCGGUACUGACGCUGAGGUGCGAAAGCGUGGGGAGCAAACAGG
rnacentral:rRNA from 1 species